rnacentral:lncRNA from 1 species
UUAAGUAGGAAGUCUAAAUUAUGAAAUCUAAAAUCUGUUUUGCUACACUGCUAUGUGAAGUAGCCAGGUGGUGACAGCGUUCAAUGACGUAAAAUGAGCAACAGUGCAGCAGAUCAAACUGAUAGCAACUUCUUUCUGUAAAGCUUUCAGUAUUAACAGAAUACUUAGUUUCUUUACAUCUCCUAAGCUCUUAACAUGCUUUCAUUUUUCCCCCCCUCAUCCUAGGACAUACAUCUUACCAAAACGCUCAAAAAAAAAAAAAAAAAAAAUCAGAAAAUCCCAACUUGCCCUCACUGUAAGAGCAAGCACACUGACUGUCACGCUGGACGAACCAUCCCAACAGUCCUGCCGAGACGGUACAGCGCCUGCUGUAAACGGGAACAGACAAGAGGAUCCUUCCCACACGAAUCUAAAUGAUAAACUGGAAAUUGAAGCUCCMGUCUGAGAAAACUCCAAGUCACACGAAUGAGUGAAUUGCCGAAGGGAUUUAGUUUCUGCUAAUGCAAGGAUGAUUUACCAGCUUCAGUGAGCCAUGCAAGAGCUGACAUACAGGUUAGUGGGCUGGAAGAUGGGGGUAAUGAACAGAAAGUGCUACAUUGUUACUGUGGCAAGGUUGGGGUAGUAUAUUUGUUAGCUGAGGCCAAACCAUUCUGUGCUACAAAAGAUUUGGCUUUACUGAAAUCAUUCUAAAAUUGUUCUAAUUAAGUGGGUAUCAGUCCCUGAUUGAACCAGUUUAAUUUCAAAUGCAAUCCAUAUGAAGACCACACACGAUAGGAUGCUUUAUGAUCAUCAGAAUUUACGCAAGAUGAUUCUAAAUAUAAAUUUGAAAGCCAGGCACUUCACUGCCAGCAGAAUGACUGCCUGAGUCCUCUUUUCUCUCUAACCUGAAACACUCAACCUGCUACCAUAUCCUACAAAGUCAAGGAGAUAUCAGCACUUCAGUAACAGUUCUGUUUGUUCUUUUUGUUUGUUUGUUUUUCAGCUUUAGUGUACAGAGGGAGAAGUUCUUUAAAUUAGAGAGUGUAACCCAAGAAGCAAAGCCAAGUUAAGCAGUCCCCAGUUGCUGCUCACAUCUCAUUCCCACUGCCUCGGUUAUUUUGAUAAAAGUGCUUGUGUAACCAAAACCAUAUCUGGGAGGUAAUCUGUGUUAAAAGCAAUAUAUAUGGAAAAAAAGUUACUUCUAACCUGCAUCACUUCUCAAGUCUGGUCUGCACAGUCACACAAGAAAUACUGCCUUAACUGAGUGGUUAACACAUGAGUAGGAAGGAGCAGGGAGUUGCAGCCACUUAAACUGGCAUUGCCACCAAAAUAAAUGCUUAUGCCCUUUGCA